CCUACGGGAGGCUGCAGUGAGGAAUAUUGGUCAAUGGGCGGAAGCCUGAACCAGCCAAGCCGCGUGCAGGAUGACGGCCCUACGGGUUGUAAACUGCUUUUAUACGGGAAUAACGUGCCUUACGCGUAGGGCUUUGCAUGUACCGUAUGAAUAAGGACCGGCUAAAUCCGGGCCAGCAGCCGCGGUAAUACGGAAGGUACGGGCGUUAUCCGGAUUUUUUGGGUUUAAAGGGAGCGUAGGCCGCAUGUCAAGCGUGCUGUGAAAUGGCCGGGCUCAACUCGGGCCUUGCAGCGCGAACUGGCGUGCGUGAGUGCGGGAGAGGCAGGCGGAAUUCGUAGUGUAGCGGUGAAAUGCUUAGAUAUGACGAAGAACCCCGAUUGCGAAGGCAGCUUGCUGGAGCGGAACUGACGCUGAUGCUCGAAAGCGCGGGUAUCGAACAGGAUUAGAUACCCUAGUAGUC
rnacentral:rRNA from 1 species